CGGAGAUUUUAAUGCUCGACGAACCGGCGGCAGGUCUUAACCCAAAAGAAACCAAAGAGCUGGAUGAGCUGAUUGCCGAACUGCGCAAUCAUCACAACACCACUAUCUUGUUGAUUGAACACGAUAUGAAGCUGGUGAUGGGAAUUUCGGACCGAAUUUACGUGGUCAAUCAGGGGACGCCGCUGGCAAACGGUACGCCGGAGCAAAUCCGUAAUAACCCGGACGUGAUCCGUGCCUAUUUAGGUGAGGCAUAAGAUGGAAAAAGUCAUGUUGUCCUUUGACAAAGUCAGCGCCCACUACGGCAAAAUCCAGGCGCUGCAUGAGGUGAGCCU
rnacentral:misc_RNA from 1 species